AUGUUUUCCUGCCAUCAGUUUCUGAGCGGAGGAGUAAGGGUGGCCAGUACCACUGCCAUCAAGCUCAGGCUUGGUGGUUCCGCCCCAGCGCUGCUCCCCGGAGACUCCCACAGCAAGGAGCAGCCUUGGCUUUCACCUCUCCAGCUUCCAUCAGGUAAGGAAGGGAGAGCCUGCGAGGGAGGCGAGCGGCCCCUGGAAGGGACGAAGCACGCAAUACCUGCUGCCGUCAGCCAUUUUGAAGGUCACAGCGGAGAAGCCUUCCCCUCCGCCUGCCGACUUGGAGCUGUCACCAGCAUCACAAAGUGAAAACCUCAGAGUGAGGGACUGAUGUUCCCUGCAAGGCACUGUUUCCUUUAAAUAGGACCCAGAGAAUAAGCUCAGCAAGGAGAAAAAAAAAGGUGAGAGGCACAGCCAGGCACUCAGCCAGCACCAUGCUGACAGCGAGACACGGGAAGAGCAGACCAGCUACGUACUAAAUAUCUCAUCACUUAAGUGCCUCACAUCCCUAAAGAAACAACAUGGUAAAGGAGAGGACCCUGUCAGCUCAGGUCUUUCCCCUCCCAGAGCCCACUGUGGAGACAACCCCUGUAUGCCCUCAUUGCAGAGAGGCCCGCACCACAUGGCCGACAGCCACCUGGCGGUGCUGGCAGCAGCAGUGCUCGCUCAGACACCUAUGUUUUGGGCACAACCACGGCCCACAGCCACAAGCCAGGUAUCGCAUAAACACAGCAUAUAAAGGCAGUCCCGGUUCCAAAGAACAUGCAACCGAAAUAUAAGGCAGGACACCAGAAAAAUACGCGUAGGAAAGAAAGUACAUCGCUGCAUGAUGCAUUCUGUGUACAGUGGCUUACAUUCCUGUCAUUAAUUCAUCCUCAUUAUGAACAGUAAUCAGCUGGAAUAACAAUAAAACUCACUGGCAAUAUGAUUAUCUCCUUUAC
rnacentral:lncRNA from 1 species